UACGGAGGAUGCGAGCGUUAUCCGGAAUGAUUGGGCGUAAAGGGAGCGUAGACGGCAUGGCAAGCCAGAUGUGAAAUACCGGGGCUCAACCCCGGGACUGCAUUUGGAACUGUUAAGCUGGAGUGUCGGAGAGGCAGGCGGAAUUCCUAGUGUAGCGGUGAAAUGCGUAGAUAUUAGGAGGAACACCGGUGGCGAAGGCGGCUUGCUGGACGGUAACUGACGUUGAGGCUCGAAAGCGUGGGGAGCAAACAGG
rnacentral:rRNA from 1 species